AACCCCAUCUUCACUUUGCCACCUGGAACCUCUCUGUCCUCGGUGGUCAUUCACGUGGGGAAAAGUAGUUGAUCCUUAAGCAUCCCAGCCGAACUUUAUGUUUUGGUCCUGGGCUUGCAAUGAGGAGACAGCA
rnacentral:snoRNA from 1 species